GCCUAUUUCUCCAGCAGGAUGGUGAUCCCUUGUAGGGCGGCGACUGCUUUCUUCACCUCCACAGCCUACUUCUUAGCAGAGUGCUGGGGACAUGGCUGACUUGCAGAAAUCUUUAUUAAAUGGAUGAAUGAAUGGAUUUCUACUCCAUAAAAGUGAGGCGGAUUCUGCCUCAUUGAUGAUCUUGGCUAAGGGAUGUUCCUUUGUCCUAGGCCCUGCCCUGGGCCCUGGGGAACCAGGUAAGAGGGACCCUGUCCCUCCUGUUGCAGGUCAUCAUCUGCAUCUGCUGCCACUGGACAUCUCAGAGGUGAUGAGACUGCACAUCCUCAUUUCAGGUCCCCGACCAUGCUGAGUGGGAAGUUGGCAGGUAAAUCUUCAUUGUUUUACAAAAAUUCCUCCCCCCGCCCCCAGAGAGGCCAAAACGCUAGUGUGAAUCACCCGGUGGGUAGCAGUGCCCAAACCUGUCCUGGCCCCCGGGUCUUGGCAUUGGAAUUUCCUUCCGGCCCUGCACGGAGAGAUGCUCUGCUCUGCUCUGCUCUGUCUGCCUCCAGGAUUUCUGCAGCCUGGCUGCUGCCGUGGGGAUCCUCCCAUGGAGACACUCAUCUCCCCAUUUUUUUGACUGAAGCACAUGGAGGUUGGCAUUAGAAACAGCUUCUGGCAAUAAAGUCAAGAGGCAGAACCCCAGGAUUUCCCAGCUGAGCAGAGGGUUCUUCAUCCCCAAAUGAGGUCCUCUCUUCCAACGGGGUUCAAGAAAGACCUUCGUCUUAGGGGUCACUGCUUUUCCUUGAUUACCUCCUGGGGCCAGGCUGGGGCUAAUCGCUUGUCAUUCCCUGGACCCUCACAACGACCCCAUUUAGCAGGUCACGAAGCUGAAGCACGGAAAGGUCCAGUUCCUUGCUGCACAAGGCCCAGGGUGCUGUGUGUGGCGGGAGAGGGGGACCCAGUUCUGUAGGACUCUAGAAUCUUAACCUUAUACUUGGUAGGCUACGGAAUGCCCAGGAGUGCCAAGAAAAUGUUGUCAAGAUGUCACCAAAACCACGCGGUGCCGAUCUCAGCCCGGGGGCGUCCUCCGCACUGCGGAGUCCCGCACGCGGCCGGCCCCGCCCCCUGCUGGCUGACGUCCGCGCCCCGCCCCGGCCCCGCCCCGCGCCCCGCCCACUCCGGCCGCCCUCGGCUCCGCCCCCGCGGGUGGCGCGGACCUCCCAUUGGCCGCCGUUUCCAUGGUGACGCGGGGCAGGCCGAGCUGCUGGCUUUCCGACACGUGUCCCCUGGAGCCGCCCGGAAUUUGACAGGGGACCAUGUGCGCGGCAGCGCGGGAGCGAGACAAAGGCCCGGGAGGGCGACGGCUUCUCCUGCGAGCCGGACCCCUCAUCAUUGGACAGAAGAACCUAAUGUGCUCAUCACUGAAGAGGUGACUCGAAGCUGUUUGAGCCCAUGUCUGCCUCCUCGUAUCCUUUGGUCAGCUCGGUGUCUUGCUUGUCUCUUG
rnacentral:lncRNA from 1 species